AAAUGAAUUGACGGGGGCCCGCACAAGCGGUGGAGUAUGUGGUUUAAUUCGACGCAACGCGAAGAACCUUACCAGGGCUUGACAUCCUCUGACAGACUAGGAGACUAGUUGUUUUAUCUUCGGAUAGACAGGGAGACAGGUGGUGCAUGGUUGUCGUCAGCUCGUGUCGUGAGAUGUUGGGUUAAGUCCCGCAACGAGCGCAACCCUUAUCCUUAGUUGCCAGCAUUUAAGGUGGGCACUCUAGAGAGACUGCCGGUGACAAACCGGAGGAAGGUGGGGAUGACGUCAAAUCAUCAUGCCCUUUAUGUCCUGGGCUACACACGUACUACAAUGGCCUGUACAAAGGGUAGCGAAGCCGUGAGGUGGAGCCAAUCCCAAAAAGCAGGUCUCAGUUCGGAUUGCAGGCUGCAACUCGCCUGCAUGAAGUCGGAAUCGCUAGUAAUCGCGGAUCAGCAUGCCGCGGUGAAUACGUUCCCGGGCCUUGUACACACCGCCCGU
rnacentral:rRNA from 1 species